rnacentral:rRNA from 1 species
CCUACGGGAGGCUGCAGUGGGGAAUAUUGCACAAUGGGGGAAACCCUGAUGCAGCGACGCCGCGUGAGUGAAGACGUAAUUCGUUAUGUAAAGCUCUAUCAGCAGGGAAGUAAAUGACGGUACCUGAGUAAGAUGCCCCGGCUAACUACGUGCCAGCAGCCGCGGUAAUACGUAGGGGGCAAGCGUUAUCCGGAUUUACUGGGUGUAAUGGGAGCGUAGACGGCAGUGCAAGUCUGAAGUGAAAGGCGGGGGCUCAACCCCCGGACUGCUCUGGAAACUGUACGGCUUGAGUGCAGGGUAGGUAAGUGGAAUUCGUAGUGUAGCGGUGAAAUGCGUAGAUAGUAGGAGGAACACCAGUGGCGAAGGCGGCUUACUGGACUGUAACUGACGUUGAGGCUCGAAGGCGUGGGGAGCAAACAGGAUUAGAUACCCUGGUAGUC